GCACAGCCUCCAGUUUUUUAGAAAAGCAACAUACAAGUCUUUCCCCACCAAGUAGAAAGGAUUGGAUCUAAGUAAACGCUACGUUUGGAUGCUCAAGGCCAAAGGGGGAGUUGAGAAGCCGCAGCUCACAGUGGGAUUCCUUUCUGGGCCACGUUGGAAUUUUAAAAGCCCUUCUAAAUAAAGCAGGCAGCUACUUGCACUGUUUCAGGUUUUUCUUUAAAUCCUGUAAACUGAGGGUAGCUGAUUGGAUUUUAUUUCAACUUCUCCCCCCACCCUUUCUGUCCUGUCUCUUUGUUUUCCAGUAUCUGCCUGUGCCUUAGGAUGGAGAGAAGGUUUGAGAUGUUCAGGAGGAGGCUCAGGGCUUUUCAUAGUGACGUGAGGAAUUCAGGAGUUCUCUGGUCCCAGGGUCAGUCCUCCGCCCACUGGGGCCUCAGCGACUUGAAACACUUCAGCCCAGGCAGAGGCCACCAGCAGGCCUUUCCUUAUAAGUGCAGCCCCUGGCCCUGGAGGCUGUG
rnacentral:lncRNA from 1 species